rnacentral:rRNA from 1 species
UCAUGCCAUUGACGGUAUUUAACCAGAAAGCACGGCUAACUACGUGCCAGCAGCCGCGGUAAUACGUAGGUGGCAAGCGUUGUCCGGGAUUUAUUGGGCGUAAAGCGAGCGCAGGCGGUUUUUUAAGUCUGAUGUGAAAGCCCUCCGGCUCAACCGAGGAAGGGUCAUUGGAAACUGGGAGACUUGAGUGCAGAAGAGGACAGUGGAAUUCCAUGUGUAGCGGUGAAAUGCGUAGAUAUAUGGAGGAACACCAGUGGCGAAGGCGGCUGUCUGGUCUGUAACUGACGCUGAGGCUCGAAAGUGUGGGGAGCAAACAGGAUUAGAUACCCUGGUAGUCCAUGCCGUAAACGAUGAGUGCUAAGUGUUGGAGGGUUCCGCCCUUCAGUGCUGCAGCUAACGCAUUAAGCACUCCGCCUGGGGAGUACGACCGCAAGGUUGAAACUCAAAGGAAUUGACGGGGGCCCGCACAAGCGGUGGAGCAUGUGGUUUAAUUCGAAGCUACGCGAAGAACCUUACCAGGUCUUGACAUCCUUUGACCAUUUUAGAGAUAGAGCUUUCCCUUCGGGGGCAAAGAGACAGGUGGUGCAUGGUUGUCGUCAGCUCGUGUCGUGAGAUGUUGGGUUAAGUCCCGCAACGAGCGCAACCCUUAUUGUCAGUUGCCAUCAUUAAGUUGGGCACUCUGGCAAGACUGCCGGUGACAAACCGGAGGAAGGUGGGGAUGACGUCAAAUCAUCAUGCCCCUUAUGACCUGGGCUACACACGUGCUACAAUGGGAAGUACAACGAGUUGCGAACUCGCGAGGGUAAGCUAAUCUCUUAAAGCUUUUCUCAGUUCGGAUUGCAGGCUGCAACUCGCCUGCAUGAAGCCGGAAUCGCUAGUAAUCGCGGAUCAGCACGCCGCGGUGAAUACGUUCCCGGGCCUUGUACACACCGCCCGUCACACCACGAGAGUUUGUAACACCCAGAAGUCGGUGGAGGUAAACCUUUAUGGAGCCAGCCGCCUAAGGUGGGACUAGAUGAUAGGUGA